rnacentral:rRNA from 1 species
UACGGAGGGGGCUAGCGUUGUUCGGAAUUACUGGGCGUAAAGCGCACGUAGCCGGCUUUGUAAGUUAGAGGUGAAAGCCCGGGGCUCAACUCCGGAAUUGCCUUUAAGACUGCAUCGCUCGAAUUGUGGAGAGGUAAGUGGAAUUCCGAGUGUAGAGGUGAAAUUCGUAGAUAUUCGGAAGAACACCAGUGGCGAAGGCGACUUACUGGACACAUAUUGACGCUGAGGUGCGAAAGCGUGGGGAGCAAACAGG